rnacentral:rRNA from 1 species
CGGUUACCUUGUUACGACUUGACGAACGCUGGCGGCGUGCUUAACACAUGCAAGUCGAACGGUAAGGCCCCUUCGGGGGUACACGAGUGGCGAACGGGUGAGUAACACGUGAGCAACCUGCCCUUGACUCUGGGAUAACAGUUAGAAAUAGCUGCUAAUACUGGAUAUUCACUUCCUCUCGCAUGGGGGGUGGUGGAAAGCUCCGGCGGUCAAGGAUGGGCUCGCGGCCUAUCAGCUUGUUGGUGAGGUAAUGGCUCACCAAGGCUUCGACGGGUAGCCGGCCUGAGAGGGCGACCGGCCACACUGGGACUGAGAUACGGCCCAGACUCCUACGGGAGGCAGCAGUGGGGAAUAUUGCACAAUGGACGCAAGUCUGAUGCAGCAACGCCGCGUGCGGGAUGACGGCCUUCGGGUUGUAAACCGCUUUCAUCCAUGACGAAGCGCAAGUGACGGUAGUGGAAGAAGAAGGACCGGNNCCAACUNACGUGNCCAGCAGCCNGCNGGUGNAUACGUNAGGGUNCCGAGCGUUGUCCNGGAANUUAUUGGGCGUAAAGNAGCNUUGUAGGCNGGCUUGUCACGUCNGGAAGUGAAAACUCAGGGCUUAACCCUGAGCCUGCUUCCGAUACGGGCUGGCUAGAGGAAGGUAGGGGAGAAUGGAAUUCCUGGUGGAGCGGUGGAAUGCGCAGAUAUCAGGAGGAACACCAGUGGCGAAGGCGGUUCUCUGGACCUCUCCUGACGCUGAGAAGCGAAAGCGUGGGGAGCAAACAGGCUUAGAUACCCUGGUAGUCCACGCCGUAAACGGUGGGCACUAGGUGUGGGGGACAUUNCCACGUUCUCCGUGCCGUAGCUAACGCAUUAAGUGCCCCGCCUGGGGNAGUACGGNCCGCAAGGNCUAAAACUCAAAGGNAAUUGACGGGGGNCCCGCACAAGCGGCGGAGCAUGCGGNANUUAAUNCGAUGCNAACGCGAANGAACCNUUACCUGGGUUUGANCAUGUACCGGRAWNAUYCAKAGAUGGGUGCGCCGUAAGGUCGGUAUACAGGUGGUGCAUGGCUGUCGUCAGCUCGUGUCGUGAGAUGUUGGGUUAAGUCCCGCAACGAGCGCAACCCUCGUCCUAUGUUGCCAGCGGGUAAUGCCGGGGACUCGUAGGAGACUGCCGAGGUCAACUCGGAGGAAGGUGGGGAUGACGUCAAGUCAUCAUGCCCCUUAUGUCCAGGGCUUCACGCAUGCUACAAUGGCUGGUACAAUGGGCUGCGAUACCGCAAGGUGGAGCGAAUCCCAAAAAGCCAGUCUCAGUUCGGAUUGGGGUCUGCAACUCGACCCCAUGAAGUCGGAGUCGCUAGUAAUCGCAGAUCAGCAACGCUGCGGUGAAUACGUUCCCGGGCCUUGUACACACCGCCCGUCAAGUCAUGAAAGUCGGCAACACCCGAAGCCGGUGGCCCAACCCCCUUGUGGGGAGGGAGCUGUCGAAGGUGGGGCUGGUAAUUAGGACUCUGAGCCAGGAUCAAACUCU